AGGCGCCCAAUCGCCGCGCCGGAGCGCCCUGAGUGACAGAACUCUGGACCAAUCAGCGGCUGCAGGCAGCGCUCAGCGACCAAUAGGAGAAGAGAAGGCGCCGGCGCGCCGCGAUUGAGGCGUGUUGGCGUGAUCGGCAGCCGGGCGGGCCAAUGGAAGCGCUGGGAUUCGCCGCCGUGCGUGGGCGGGACUGCGGCGUGCGCAGCCAAUGGAGCCGCGCACCGCCCCCGGGCAGCCCCGCGGGACGCCGCCAUUGGCCGGGGAAGCGGAAAUCACGGAAACGGCGGGGCGAGCACUGAGUGACGUUGGCCACGGCCAGUAGCUUGCAGCGCGCUCCUCCUCCCACCCCCGCCGCUCAGCGAUUGGAGGAGACGUUUGAUUGACGGCUGGCACAGCCAAUGAAGCGCGGGCAGCGGGAGGGGCGGAGCGUCGCUAGAAUGACAGGCGCGGGAAUCAAUCGGAGGCGGGACACGAGGUGACCAAUCACAACCCGCGUUGGGGGAGGUGGAGCGUGAUGGGCAGUGCGCCCAACCAAUAGCGUGCGUCCCCCUGCGCGCGCUGUCCAAUGAGCAUCGAGCGGCUAUUUUGGAGGGAAACGGCGGCCAAUCAGAGCCCGUGCCGCAGGGGCGGGGACGAGGCUGCGGCGCUCUGGGCCAAUCGCGUGCGAGGAGGUUUCCCCAUGCCCCGCCCCCGCCCUCCCAGUCCAUCCCAGUUCUCCCAGUCCGGUCUCUCAGAGCUCAAUAAAUAAAACUUUAUUGAUGGGGAAGGGGCGGGGCCACCUCGGCUCCUCCCACUCCCCCAGGCCUCGGUCCGGGAGGAAUUCACAGUAUUUUGGUUAAAAAAAAUCCCAAAGUGCCCCAGGGGUUACUUGGGGCACUUGGACAGCCCUGAAUGAGCACAGACAGCUGGUGCAGGUGUGCACAGCCAUGGCCAGGUGUGUCCAGGUGUGCACAGCCAUGGCCAGGUGUAUCCAGGUGUGUCUGCAGCCAUGGCCAGGUGUGCACAGGUGUGUCCAGGUGUGUCUGCAGCCAUGGCCAGGUGUGCCCAGCCCCAUCCAGGUGUGCACAGAUAUGUCUGCAGCCACAGCUGGGUGUACACAGCCCCAUCCAGAUGUGCCCAGGCGUCUGCAGCCAUGGCCAGGUGUGCACAGCUGUGCCCAGCUGUGUCUGCAGCCAUGGCCAGGUGUGUCCAGCUGUGCACAGGUGUGUCUGCAGCCAUGACCAGGUGUGCCCAGCUGUGCACAGGUGUGUCUGCAGCCAUGGCCAGGUGUGCCCAGCUGUGCACAGGUGUGUCUGCAGCCAUGGCCAGGUGUGCCCAGGUGUGCACAGGUGUGUCCAGGUGUGUCUGCAGCCAUGGCCAGGUGUGCCCAGCUGUGCACAGGUGUGUCUGCAGCCAUGGCCAGGUGUGCCCAGCUGUUCUCAGCUGUGCCCAGCUGUGUCUGCAGCCAUGGCCAGGUGUGCCCAGGUGUGCCCAGCUGUGCA
ensembl:lncRNA